rnacentral:rRNA from 1 species
GGGUUGUAGUCUGCAACCCGACUACAUGAAGCUGGAAUCGCUAGUAAUCGCAAAUCAGAAUGUUGCGGUGAAUACGUUCCCGGGUCUUGUACACACCGCCCGUCACACCAUGGGAGUCGGAUAUGCCCGAAGCCAGUGACCUAACCGUAAGGAAGGAGCUGUCGAAGGUGGAGCCGAUAACUGGGGUGAAGUCGUAACAAGGUAAC